UCUGGGAUAGCUCAGUCGGUAGAGCAUGCGAGUCUUUCCACCUAAUGUCGUGGGUUCGAGCCCUAUAUUCGGCA